rnacentral:rRNA from 1 species
UUGGAGGGCAAGUCUGGUGCCAGCAGCCGCGGUAAUUCCAGCUCCAAUAGCGUAUAUUAAAGUUGUUGCAGUUAAAAAGCUCGUAGUUGAAUUUCGGAAUCUGUCCAUCGGUCGGGCUUCACUGUUCGUACUGGUGUGGUGGGUUCUUACCUUCUGAAUAACCAGCAUGCCAUUAAUUUGGUGCGUUGGGGAAGCAGGACUAUUACCUUGAAAAAAUUAGAGUGCUCAAAGCAGGCUAGUGCCUGAAUACAUUAGCAUGGAAUAAUAAAAUAGGACGGCAUGGUUCUAUUUUGUUGGUUUCUAGGAUCACCGUAAUGAUUAAUAGGGAUAGUUGGGGGCAUUAGUAUUCAAUUGUCAGAGGUGAAAUUCUUGGAUUUAUUGGAGACUAACUUCUGCGAAAGCAUUUGCCAAGGAUGUUUUCAUUAAUCAAGAACGAAAGUUAGGGGAUCGAAGACGAUCAGAUACCGUCGUAGUCUUAACCAUAAACUAUGCCGACUAGGGAUCGGAUGAUGUUAAUUUUUUAAUGACUCAUUCGGCGCCUUACGGGAAA